rnacentral:rRNA from 1 species
CCCAGACAGCCAGGAUGUUGGCUUAGAAGCAGCCAUCAUUUAAAGAAAGCGUAAUAGCUCACUGGUCGAGUCGGCCUGCGCGGAAGAUGUAACGGGGCUAAACCAUGCACCGAAGCUGCGGCAGCGACGCUGAUGCGUUGUUGGGUAGGGGAGCGUUCUGUAAGCCUGUGAAGGUGGCCUGUGAGGGUUGCUGGAGGUAUCAGAAGUGCGAAUGCUGACAUAAGUAACGAUAAAGCGGGUGAAAAGCCCGCUCGCCGGAAGACCAAGGGUUCCUGUCCAACGUUAAUCGGGGCAGGGUGAGUCGACCCCUAAGGCGAGGCCGAAAGGCGUAGUCGAUGGGAAACGGGUUAAUAUUCCCGUACUUGGUGUUACUGCGAAGGGGGGACGGAGAAGGCUAUGUUGGCCGGGCGACGGUUGUCCCGGUUUAAGCGUGUAGGUGUGUGUUCCAGGUAAAUCCGGUUCACUUUAACACUGAGGCGUGAUGACGAGGCACUACGGUGCUGAAGCAACAAAUGCCCUGCUUCCAGGAAAAGCCUCUAAGCAUCAGGUAACAUCAAAUCGUACCCCAAACCGACACAGGUGGUCAGGUAGAGAAUACCAAGGCGCUUGAGAGAACUCGGGUGAAGGAACUAGGCAAAAUGGUGCCGUAACUUCGGGAGAAGGCACGCUGACACGUAGGUGAAGUGAUUUACUCAUGGAGCUGAAGUCAGUCGAAGAUACCAGCUGGCUGCAACUGUUUAUUAAAAACACAGCACUGUGCAAACACGAAAGUGGACGUAUACGGUGUGACGCCUGCCCGGUGCCGGAAGGUUAAUUGAUGGGGUCAGCGCAAG